UAUUAUAAUAAUAUAUUAUUUAUGUUUGAAUUCAUUAGAACAAUGGCGUAUCAGACGUCGCUCCCAAACCGGUCGACAUCCAUCUGCAUAACUCAUUCCGCAAGAAUGAGCGGUAUAGUUUGAAAACUUACCAAAGUUAUCUGGUGGAUGUCGAUACGUUGGUGAGCAGCCGUCGCACAUAGGUCUGAUGUACCUAUGGAAAGUUAUUAUUGGAUCGGUCACAAUAUUACGUUGAGAAGUUAUCUGUCCAUAAACUUAUUUUCAGAUUUGUAGGCCAAUUUCGUUGCCAUUUUUUAAUCAUUCUUUGUUUUUAUUAAGGUUGAGGUGUAACAGCAUUUUAGGGGCUAUUGUAAUUCCCACUUCCAGGACUUUAUCAUACAUACAGCCGACAGCCCGAUGACCUACAUUUUUGUGUAUUCUGGUCUACCCUAUGAUGGCCGCGAAGUAACGAUCACGUCACCGUUUAUCACAUUGCCCAGUUUGAAAGAGUCUCCAACAAUUUCAUCGGAUAGGUACGCCAUAAACCGUGACAUAGCGCUGGGCCAGAAUCAUUUUGUACGGAUCAAUAUCUACAGAAAUGACGUCCCAAUUAUUAGAAGCUAAUAAUAUAGUGUCUUUGUCGAACAGUCAGCUGUACGAAGUUUCCGCUGUGCCACAAAACGGGUCGACGCCGGUCGCUGAACAUGGGAAGUCCUCAAGUCCACCCAGCGUCGUAUUGAUGAAUCAACAAUACAUCUUACAUCUUACAUCUAUCAUUGCAAUCUUAUAAUUAUUCACCUGAAUGCAUGUAAUCCUGAAUGUACAGUUAAUUUAUUACUACCCAUCUACAAAGUCAACACUGUAUUAAUAAAAGUAUUUAUUGUUAAAAUAUAAUUGAGUUCUAUAUUAUUUGUAGGUACUUAAAAAUUAUUUGGGUAUAAAGGAAACAUAUUUUAA